CUACGUGCCAGCAGCCGCGGUAAUACGUAGGGCGCGAGCGUUGUCCGGAAUUAUUGGGCGUAAAGGGCUUGUAGGCGGUUGGUCGCGUCUGCCGUGAAAUUCUCUGGCUUAACUGGGGGCGUGCGGUGGGUACGGGCUGACUUGAGUGCGGUAGGGGAGACUGGAACUCCUGGUGUAGCGGUGGAAUGCGCAGAUAUCAGGAAGAACACCGGUGGCGAAGGCGGGUCUCUGGGCCGUUACUGACGCUGAGGAGCGAAAGCGUGGGGAGCGAACAGGAUUAGAUACCCUGGUAGUCCACGCUGUAAACGUUGGGCACUAGGUGUGGGGGCCACCCGUGGUUUCUGCGCCGUAGCUAACGCUUUAAGUGCCCCGCCUGGGGAGUACGGCCGCAAGGCUAAAACUCAAAGGAAUUGACGGGGGCCCGCACAAGCGGCGGAGCAUGCGGUUUAAUUCGAUGCAACGCGAAGAACCUUACCUACUCUUGACA
rnacentral:rRNA from 1 species